CCCUUAGAUGUCCUGGGCUGCACGCGCGCUACACUGAUGGGUCCAGUAAGCACCUAACCUCUUCCGAAAGGAACGGGUAACCUUUGCAAAGCACAUCGUGAUGGGGAUAGAUUAUUGCAAUUAUUAGUCUUGAACGAGGAAUUCCUAGUAAGCACAAGUCAUCAGCUUGUGUUGAUUACGUCCCUGCCCUUUGUACACACCGCCCGUCGCUCCUACCGAUUGAAUGUUCCGGUGAGCUCUUCGGACUGCGCGGUCUGCAGUUUCUGCGUUCCGUGCGGAAAGUUGCGCAAACCUUAACAUUUAGAGGAAGGAGAAGUCGUAACA
rnacentral:rRNA from 1 species